rnacentral:rRNA from 1 species
UGACCUCGGAUCAGGUAGGGAUACCCGCUGAACUUAAGCAUAUCAAUAAGCGGAGGAAAAGAAACCAACAGGGAUUGCCCUAGUAACGGCGAGUGAAGCGGCAUCAGCUCAAAUUUGAAAUCUGGCUCUUUCAGGGUCCGAGUUGUAAUUUGCAGAGGGCGCUUUGGCGUUGGCAGCGGUCCAAGUUCCUUGGAACAGGACGUCACAGAGGGUGAGAAUCCCGUACGUGGUCGCUGGCCUUCGCCGUGUAAAGCCCCUUCGACGAGUCGAGUUGUUUGGGAAUGCAGCUCUAAAUGGGAGGUAAAUUUCUUCUAAAGCUAAAUACUGGCCAGAGACCGAUAGCGCACAAGUAGAGUGAUCGAAAGAUGAAAAGCACUUUGGAAAGAGAGUCAAAUAGCACGUGAAAUUGUUGAAAGGGAAGCGCUUGCAGCCAGACUUGCCUGUAGUUGCUCAUCCGGGCUCUUGCCCGGUGCACUCUUCUGCGGGCAGGCCAGCAUCAGUCUAGGCGGUUGGAUAAAGGCCUCUGUCAUGUACCUCCUUUCGGGGAGGCCUUAUAGGGGAGGCGCCAUGCAACCAGCCUGGACUGAGGUCCGCGCAUCUGCUAGGAUGCUGGCGUAAUGGCUGUAAGCGGCCCGUCUUGAAACACGGACCAAGGAGUCUAACAUCUAUGCGAGUGUUUGGGUGUCAAGCCCGAACGCGUAAUGAAAGUGAACGGAGGUGGGAUCCCGUAAGGGUGCACCAUCGACCGAUCCUGAUGUCUUCGGAUGGAUUUGAGUAAGAGCAUGGCUGUUGGGACCCGAAAGAUGGUGAACUAUGCUUGAAUAGGGUGAAGCCAGAGGAAACUCUGGUGGAGGCUCGCAGCGGUUCUGACGUGCAAAUCGAUCGUCAAAUUUGGGCAUAGGGGCGAAAGACUAAUCGAACUAUCUAGUAGCUGGUUCCUGCCGAAGUUUCCCUCAGGA